ACGCGAGGCCUGUGAAGGCGCUUCCCUUCCUUGACUUUUUGGGUUUGGCUCCCGCUUUGAUUUGAGCCAGAGGCACCACAGAUAAUUACAAAGCCGUGUAAGGAGGGAGGCAUAGUGAGAUGGCUGAAUAGAAGCCUCCACUGAUUGUCCCUGCAACAGGAACACCAAACAUAACAACAAUCCACACAAAAAAGCACCUUCAUAGGAACAGAAAAUGAGGUGAGUGAUCACAGUACCUGGUUUUAACUUCAUAUUGCUGAAAGAGGCAUUGAAGAGGGUAGGAAAGACAGCCUUGAGUUGCUGAUACCACCUCACUCUCAUCCUUCUGGCAACAGCCACAUGGCAUGAAGAGAAUCUGUAUGCUUGUGGGAGGGACAGUGCAGUGACUGAGGGGCUUUACAUUGAAACUCAGUGCUGUGCUGUCACAGUGGAAAGCAACACCAGGCUGAACUCGGCUGAUAUCCAUGGAGGGAGCAUAGACAGGCCCUAGCCAAAGGGGAAUUACCCAUCUCAGCAAUCAGAACUUGAGUUUUGACAAGCCUUGCCACUGCUGGGUAAAGGGCUCUGGAGUCCUAAAAUAAACUUGAAAGUCUGCCUAGGCCACAAGGACUGCAACUCCUGGGCAAGUCCUAGCCGUGUGCUGGGCUCAGAGCCAGUGGAUGUGGGGGAUAAGCAACCUAGUGAGACACCAGACAGGGCAGCCAAGGGAGUGCUUUACCACCCCUCCCCCAGCCUCAGGUAGCACAGCUUGCUCCUCCAAAAGAGACUCCUUCCUUCCACUUGAGGAGAGGAGAGGGAAGAGUAAAGAGGACUUUGUCUUGCAACUUGGAUAUCAUCUCAGCCACAACAGGAUAGGGCAUUGGACAGAGUUGUGAGGCCCCCAUUCCAGGCCCUAGCUCUCAGAUGAUAUUGCUAGAUAUACCCUACACCAGAAGGGACACUGCUGCCUUGAAAGAAGAAAGGACCCAGUCCUGGGCAGGAUUCGUCACCUGCUGACUAAAGAGCCCUUGGGCCCUGAAUAAUCAGCAGUGGUAGCCCAGUAAUACAUUCUAUGGGCCUUGGGUGAGACUCUGAGAUGUGCUGGCUUUCAGUGUAACCCAGCACAUUUCCAGCUGUGGUGGCUAUGAGGAGAGACUCCUUCUGCUUGAGAAAAGCAGAGGGAAGAGUAAAGGGGACUUUGUCCUACAGCCUAGGUGUCAGCUCAGCCACAGUGGGGUAGAGCACCAAAUGGGCUUUGGGGGUCCCUGCUUCUAGGUCUUGGUUCUUGGGCAGCAUUUCUGGACCUGCCCUAGGUCAGAGGAGAGCCCACUGCCCUGAAGGGUGAGCGUCAGGCCUGGCAGCAUUCACCAAAAGCUGACUGAAGAAGAGCUGUUGGGCCUUAAGUGAACAUUGGUGGUAGGCUGGCAGUACUCUCUGUGGGUCUGUAAUGGUGACAGCCAUGGAUAGAGACUCCACUCCACAUGGAAAGGGGAGGGAAAGUGGGAAGGACUGUGUCUUACGUUUUGUAUGCCAACUCAGCCAGUAGAGUAGAGCACCAGGUAGAUUUCUAAGGUUUCCAAUUCCAGACCCUGGCUACCAGACUGCAUCUCUGGACCCAUCAAGGGCCUGGAAGAACUCACUGCCCUGAAAGGAAGAACACAAGCCUAGUUGGCUUUCCCACGUGCUGAUUGUAGAGGGCCUUGAACAAACAUAGGUAGUAGCCAGGUAGUAGUUACUGGGCAAGAUCCAGUGCUGUGUCUGACCCAGUGUAGUUUCAGUGUUGGUAGCCACAGGGUGCUUGUGUCACUCCUCCCCUAGCUCCAGGCAGCACAGCAUAAAGAGAGAGACUCCAUUUGUCUGGGAGAAAGUAAGGGAAGAGAACAAGGUCUCUGCCUGGUAAUCCACAGAACACUUCUGGAUCUUAUCUAAGACCACCAAGGUGGUAUCUCUAUGAGUCUGAGCGCUACUGGGCUUGGGGUGUUCCCUAAAGCAGAUACAGCUGUAAUGACUAAAAAUUUAGUUUACAAUACCCAAUUUCUUUUGAAUACCUGGAAAGCCUUCCCAAUAAGGGUGGGUACAAAUAAGCCCAAACUGUGAAGACUACAAUAAAUAACUCUUCAAUGCCCAGACACUAAAAAAACAUCCACAGGCAUCAUGGCCAUCUAGGAAAACAUGACCUCACCAAACACACUAAAUAAAAGACUAAGGACUAAUUCCAAGGAGACAGAAAUAUGUGACCUUUCAGACAGAGAAGUCAAAAUAGCUGUUUUGAAGAAACUUGAAGAAAUUCGAGAUAACACAGAGAAGGAAUUCAGAAUCCUAUCAGAUAAAUUUAACAAAGAGAUGGAAAUAGUUAAAAAAAAUCAAGCAGAAAUUCUGGAGUUGAAAAUGCAAUUGACAUACUGAAGAAUACAUCAGGGUCUCUUAAUAGCAGAAGUGAUCAAACAGAAGAAAGAACUAGUGAGCUUGAAGAGAGAGUAUUUGAAAAUACACAGGCAGAGGAGAUGAAAGAAGUAAGAAUAAAAGAGAAUGGAUCAAAGAGGGCAGAUCAUCUGAGGUCAGGAGUUCGAGAUCAGCCUGGCCAAUGUGGUGAAAUCCUGUCUCUACUAAAAAUACAGAAAUUAGCUGGGUGUGGUGGCUCACCCUUGUAGUCCCAGCUACUUGAGAGGCUGAGGCAGGAGAAUGACUUGAACCCGGGAGGCGGAGAUUGCAAUGAGUUGAGAUUCCACCACUGCACUCCAGCCUGGGUGACAGAGUGAGACUCUGUCUCAAAAAAGAAAGAAAGAAAAAAAAAAA
ensembl:lncRNA